UACGUAGGUGGCAAGCGUUGUCCGGAUUUACUGGGCGUAAAGAGCGCGCAGGCGGCCAGGUCAGUCGAAUGUGAAAGCCCCCGGCUUAACUGGGGAGGGUCAUUCGAUACUGCUCGGCUCGAAGACAGGAGAGGGAAGCGGAAUUCCCGGUGUAGUGGUGAAAUGCGUAGAUAUCGGGAGGAACACCAGUGGCGAAGGCGGCUUUCUGGCCUGUUCUUGACGCUGAGGCGCGAAAGCUAGGGGAGCAAACGGG
rnacentral:rRNA from 1 species